GAUGAACGCUGGCGGCGUGCCUAACACAUGCAAGUCGAGCGAUUCUCUUCGGAGAAGAGCGGCGGACGGGUGAGUAACGCGUGGGUAACCUGCCCUGUACACACGGAUAACAUACCGAAAGGUAUGCUAAUACGAGAUAAUAUGCUUUUAUCGCAUGGUAGAAGUAUCAAAGCUUUUGCGGUACAGGAUGGACCCGCGUCUGAUUAGCUAGUUGGUAAGGUAACGGCUUGCCAAGGCGACGAUCAGUAGCCGACCUGAGAGGGUGAUCGGCCACAUUGGAACUGAGACACGGUCCAAACUCCUACGGGAGGCAGCAGUGGGGAAUAUUGCACAAUGGGCGAAAGCCUGAUGCAGCAACGCCGCGUGAGCGAUGAAGGCCUUCGGUCGUAAAGCUCUGUCCUCAGGAAGAUAAUGACGGUACUUGAGGAGGAAGACCCCGGCGUAACUACGUGCCAGCAGCCGCGGUAAU
rnacentral:rRNA from 1 species